GGGACACCCUGUAUGUAUUUUGGUAAUUAGUAAUAAUCUAUUCAUUUUAGCGUUAUUUUUAGAUAAAGUAAUCGUUAAACUUUGGUAAAAAGUCGACGUACAUUAGCCUCAAAUAUUAUUUACUAAUACAGUAUGUAUUUGACGUACAGUUUUUUACUAUGUGCGGACAUUAACUGAAAUGCUUUACGGAACUGCAUAUCUUAACCUAUAUACAGUGCAGUCCUCGACGAGCCGGUGCGAACACGCUCGAUCGUAGAGCGCCUAUAUCUAAUUUGUAAAGUGCUACAGUGAGAAUAUCUUGAUCCUAGGAAUCGUAGCUGUGUGUGUAUACAUUUAGAAGAUAAUGGAUUAUGUCACCUUGACACGAAGUAAUCAGAACGUCCGCGGCUCUGAAACAAUUUCUCGAGGACCUCUGUUCUACCGUCGACGAUCAUCGAUAUAGGAUUAAAAGAAAUCCAGAAGCAUCCCGCUUCCUUUCCUAGACCCAUCGGGAUAUUGCUUUUCGUUCGAGCAGAUUACCAAAGAUCGAGAUAGCGCUCGCGAAAGCGGGCGCGGAUUGCGGAUGCUGCAAAGAAUCAAGAAAAUCCCCGGGUGAAAGCCGUCUAUUUGACGACAUUCCACUGCGAGCGGUUCGCGCACAUGUCGGAGGAACCUGUCCGAAUGGAAUUAUCGAUAGCACGUUUCUCCCGUGGUCUUUAUGGCGGCCAUAUUAAUUCAUCGGCCGAACAGGCGAACAAUGGCCGCGACACACCGGGGAAAAAAUGGUCGGACCCGCGUGUGAAUGGCUUUCGUGAUUUCAGGUUGAUUAACAGUUUUUCAUGUACAGUUACCGAGCCGGCUGUAAUUUCAGCGGAAGAAACGGAGGAAGCGGUUAAUUACGAAUACGCUCUCGCGCGCCGAUAUCACAGGAGCCUACCCGCUUUAUUGCGAUACGUUUAAUUUAAUUAAUAGCCCGCGAAGGGUUCGCGUCGAGCAUCUUUAAGCUCGAAUACGACACGACGGUCGAAUGACAGGUCGCGGCGCGCGUAAGUCCCAACUGAAGCGCUAGCUGUUCGCUUGAUAAAAAAAAAUCGUUUGCUCGUGUUCAUCGCUUUAGGGAAAACUGUUGAAUUAACGAGAUAUGUUAAUAAUUGCGAUUAGAAACAGCAUUAAAAGAUCAACGUUUUAUAAAUUGUAUUUCAUGUUGAUGCCCUGAAUAAUCUAUUUCAUAUUAUCUUCAAGAUUUUUUUCUUAAUUAAAUAGUAUUUGUCUAUACUGCGAACACACCGUGGACCGAGCUGCAUUAUUUAUCAUUGUUAAAUUGACGAGAUUUGUUAAUAAUUGCGAUUAGAAACAGCAUUAAAAGAUCAACGUUUUAUAAAUUAUAUUUCAUGUUGAUGCUCCUGAAUAAUCUAUUUCAUAUUAUCUUCCAGAUUUUUAUCUUAAUUAAAUAGUAUUUGCCUAAACUGCGAACGCGCCGUAGACUGAGAUGCGUUGUUUAUAAUUUAUCGAAAAAAAAGUAUGUUCGACAAAGUACAGAGAACCGUACAAGUUUUCCAUAAUUGACGAAGAAUAUCUUCCGAGUUCCGCUUAGUUCAGCGUUAUUAAAAGGUAGAAUAUUUUCAUUACACUUUCCCCUAUAUAAUCGUGCAAAGAUCGCUUCCCGUAACGUCCCCGAAAGGUAAUUAUGCAGGAAUGCAAAAGGAAAUUCUCGAUUUAUCCUCUUCCGGGACGUAGUACAACGAAGUCCUAUAAUUAAAUCGUUCAUGUAUUUAUUUAUCUACUCGUAGCAGCACUGCCCUAGCGUUCGUUGCCCAUUAAUCCUCGGCCUGCGUUCACCGGGUCGUUUGUGACCCGAUGUAUUUAAACGGUUCCCCUAAUUACUCAAUUUUUGGCAAUUAAAUGAAAUAAAUAGCUGUCGACGGAAAGACUAACGUGAGACUGCGUGAAAUAUCUUGAAAAAUAUGUUCGGAAAAAUUGUAAGCACAGAAUUGUUAUAAAUAUUGCCUAUCGUACAGCUGUAAAACUGCUCCGUCGUUCGACGGUUAAACAGCA